rnacentral:rRNA from 1 species
CCAAUCGAACCCGGAGAUAGCUGGUUCUCCUCGAAAUAGCUUUAGGGCUAGCCUCAUGGAUCAUUGGUGGGGGUAGAGCACUGAAUGUGCGCGGGGGCCACAAAGCCUACCAAACGCUAUCAAACUACGAAUACCAUACAAUGCAGACCAUGGGAGUCAGUCCGCGAGAGAUAAGUUCCGCGGGCAAAAGGGGAACACCCCAGAUCAACCGCUAAGGUCCCCAAGUUCACGUUAAGUGGAGAAGGAUGUGGAAUUGCACAGACAACCAGGAUGUUGGCUCAGAAGCAGCCACACAUUUAAAGAGUGCGUAAUAGCUCACUGGUCGAGUGAUUGUGCGCCGAAGAUGUCCGGGGCUAAACGUGACACCGAAGCGAUGGGUGCAUCUGAAAGGAUGCGCGGUAGAGGAGCAAUGUGCAGAGGCAGAAGCCGUAUCGAGAGGCACGGUGGACACUGCACAAGAGAGAAUGCCGGUAUGAGUAGCGAGAGGCAUGCGAGAAACAUGCCCGUCGAAAGCCCAAGGUUUCCUGGGGAAGGUUCAUCCGCCCAGGGUAAGUCGGGGCCUAAGCCGAGGACGGAAGUCGUAGGCGAUGGACAGCAGGUGUAGAUUCCUGCACUACCGAUGGAAUGAAGCAGUGACACAGAAGGAUAACUCGAGCAGGGUGAUGGUCAACCCUGUGCAAGCAUCAAGGUUGGGUUGUAGUGAAGUACGCAAUCCUAUAAGCUGAGAUGUGAUGCGGACCGAAAUUUCAGUAGGGAAGCGAGUGAGUUCACGCUGGCGAGAAAAGCUGCUAGUAUAUCCAAAGGUACCCGUACCGGAAACCGACGCAGGUGGGCGAGGAGAGAAUCCUGAGACGAACGGGAGAACCCUUGUUAAGGAACUCGGCAAAAUGACCCCGUAACUUCGGGAUAAGGGGUGCCUGCGAGAGCAGGCCGCAGAGAAUAGUCACAAGCGACUGUUUAGCAAAAACACAGGUAUCUGCGAAAGCGAGAGCUGACGUAUAGGUGCUGACACCUGCCCGGUGCUGGAAGGUUAAGGGAACAUGUUAGAGCAAUCGAAGCAUCGAACCGAAGCCCCAGUAAACGGCGGCCGUAACUAUAACGGUCCUAAGGUAGCGAAAUUCCUUGUCGGGUAAGUUCCGACCCGCACGAAUGGUGUAACGACUUGUGAGCUGUCUCAACAGGGGGCCCGGUGAAAUUGAAGUAUGGGUGAAGAUGCCCAUUACCCGCGACUGGACGGAGAGACCCCGUAGAGCUUUACUGCAGCCUGAUAUUGAGUUUCGGUAACUGAUGCACAGGAUAGGUGGGAGUCUGAGAGACAUGGGUUUCGGCUCAUGUGGAGACGGUGUUGGGAUACCACUCUUCGGUUACUGAAAUUCUAACAUAGCUCUGUGAAACCAGAGGAUGGACAGUGUCAGGUGGACAGUUUGACUGGGGCGGUCGCCUCCGAAAGAGUAACGGAGGCGCCCAAAGGUACCCUCAGAAUGGAUGGAAACCAUUCGAAGAGCGCAAAGGCAGAAGGGUGCCUGACUGCGAGAUUGACAAAUCGAGCAGAGACGAAAGUCGGGCUUAGUGAUCCGGCGGUAUUGAGUGGAAAAGCCGUCGCUUAACGGAUAAAAGCUACCUCGGGGAUAACAGGCUGAUCUCCCCCAAGAGUCCACAUCGACGGGGAGGUUUGGCAC